rnacentral:rRNA from 1 species
GACGAACGCUGGCGGCGCGCCUAACACAUGCAAGUCGAACGAGCGAGAGAGAGCUUGCUUUCUCGAGCGAGUGGCGAACGGGUGAGUAACGCGUGAGGAACCUGCCUCAAAGAGGGGGACAACAGUUGGAAACGACUGCUAAUACCGCAUAAGCCCACGACCCGGCAUCGGGUAGAGGGAAAAGGAGCACUCCGCUUUGAGAUGGCCUCGCGUCCGAUUAGCUAGUUGGUGAGGUAACGGCCCACCAAGGCGACGAGCGGUAGCCGGACUGAGAGGUUGAACGGCCACAUUGGGACUGAGACACGGCCCAGACUCCUACGGGAGGCAGCAGUGGGGAAUAUUGCACAAUGGGGGAAACCCUGAUGCAGCGACGCCGCGUGGAGGAAGAAGGUCUUCGGAUUGUAAACUCCUGUUGUUGAGGAAGAUAAUGACGGUACUCAACAAGGAAGUGACGGCUAACUACGUG